GUCUACAGAUAUGCCACCCUAAACAAGCCUGAUUCCAUCUGAUCGCAGGAGCUAAGCAGGGUCGGGCCUGGUUAGCACUUGACUGGGAGACCACCAGGUGCUGUAGGCA
rnacentral:rRNA from 1 species